GUGCACCAGUCGCGAAUCCUUCGCAAUGCAGGAAACUGCGACGAGGGAACUCCAAGUGCCUACGCUCAGCGUAGGCUGUUCUCAAGCCUAGAAAGCUUGAGGAGUAAGGGCUGGGUAAGACGGGUGCCAUCUGUGGUAGCAGUCAAUAGAUUCGAUUUGUUACUGCAAGGCAUAAGCCGCCGCGGUAAUACCCGCAGCCCAAGUGGUGGCCGCUUUUAUUGGGCCUAAAGCGUCCGUAGCCGGCCCGGUAAAAUGCCUGGGGUAAAUCGUGGAGCCCAACUUCACGAAUCCGGGUAGACUGCCGAGCUCGGGACCGGAAGAGGGGAGAGGGUACUUCAGGGGUAGGGGUGAAAAUUUCCUUUCCAUUAACGCUUUUGCGCGAAGCGGAAAGGGUUAUCACAAUCC
rnacentral:rRNA from 1 species